rnacentral:rRNA from 1 species
UACGGGGGGUGCUAGCGUUGUCCGGAAUCACUGGGCGUAAAGGGCGCGUAGGUGGUUUGAUCAGGGUGUGGUGAAAGUCCGGGGCUCAACCCCGGAUCUGCCGUGCCGACUGUCAAACUCGAGGACUGUAGAGGCAGACGGAAUUCCGGGUGUAGCGGUGGAAUGCGUAGAGAUCCGGAGGAAGACCGGUGGCGAAGGCGGUCUGCUGGGCAGUUUCUGACACUGAGGCGCGACAGCGUGGGGAGCAAACAGG